AGGAAAAACCUUAAAAUGGGAAUCCGGUGACCUUGAUAACUAUUGGGGGAUUCCGGAGCUGUACCCGCAGCUGUAAGUCCUUUUUCAAGAUUUUGAAAUAUCCCCUGCCACUGUUUGCUGAUUAGCGGAUGGGAAGGCUUCAAAAUCAGGACAAGCCAGAAGACCUGCCAAAAUUUAA
rnacentral:ncRNA from 1 species